AUUCCAGCUCCAAUAGCGUAUACUAAAGUUGUUGCGGUUAAAAAGCUCGUAGUUGGAUCUUGGAAUGUGCUCAAGCGGGUCAGCUUCUGGCUGUUCGCUGCUUGACGUGUUCUUCUAUUUGGUUUUGGUGCGGUGCGCUUAACUGCGUGUCGCUCCCGGCCGAAACGUUUACCUUGAAAAAAUUAGAGUGUUCAAAGCAGACCUGUUUGAGUCUGAAUAUUCGUGCAUGGAAUAAUGAAAUAUGAAUUCGGUUCUAUUUUGUUGGUUUUCGGAACUCGAGUUAAUGAUCAAGAGGGACAGACGGGGGCAUUCGUACUCUGCCGUUAGAGGUGAAAUUCUUGGAUCGGCGGAAGACGCGCAACCGCGAAAGCAUUUGCCAAGAAUGUUUUCAUCA
rnacentral:rRNA from 1 species